GUAGUCCACGCUGUAAACGAUGUCGAUUUGGAGGUUGUGCCCUUGAGGCGUGGCUUCCGGAGCUAACGCGUUAAAUCGACCGCCUGGGGAGUACGGCCGCAAGGUUAAAACUCAAAUGAAUUGACGGGGGCCCGCACAAGCGGUGGAGCAUGUGGUUUAAUUCGAUGCAACGCGAAGAACCUUACCUACUCUUGACAUCCAGAGAACUUUCCAGAGAUGGAUUGGUGCCUUCGGGAACUCUGAGACAGGUGCUGCAUGGCUGUCGUCAGCUCGUGUUGUGAAAUGUUGGGUUAAGUCCCGCAACGAGCGCAACCCUUAUCCUUUGUUGCCAGCGGUUCGGCCGGGAACUCAAAGGAGACUGCCAGUGAUAAACUGGAGGAAGGUGGGGAUGACGUCAAGUCAUCAUGGCCCUUACGAGUAGGGCUACACACGUGCUACAAUGGCAUAUACAAAGAGAAGCGACCUCGCGAGAGCAAGCGGACCUCAUAAAGUAUGUCGUAGUCCGGAUUGGAGUCUGCAACUCGACUCCAUGAAGUCGGAAUCGCUAGUAAUCGUAGAUCAGAAUGCUACGGUGAAUACGUUCCCGGGCCUUGUACACACCGCCCGUCACACCAUGGGGAGUGGGUUGCAAAAGAAGUAGGUAGCUUAACCUUCGGGAGGGCGCUUACCACUUUGUGAUU
rnacentral:rRNA from 1 species